GGGUGCUUAGCUCAGUUGGUAGAGCGCCUCCCUUACAAGGAGGAUGUCAGCGGUUCGACCCCGUUAGCACCCACCA
rnacentral:tRNA from 4 species